UACGGGGGGGGCAAGCGUUGUUCGGAAUUAUUGGGCGUAAAGGGUGCGUAGGCGGCCAACUAAGUCGGACGUGAAAUCCCUCAGCUUAACUGGGGAACUGCGUCCGAUACUGGAUGGCUUGGAUUUGGGAGAGGGAUGCGGAAUUCCAGGUGUAGCGGUGAAAUGCGUAGAUAUCUGGAGGAACACCGGUGGCGAAGGCGGCAUCCUGGACCAAUAUUGACGCUGAGGAGCGAAAGCUAGGGGAGCAAACGGG
rnacentral:rRNA from 1 species